rnacentral:pre_miRNA from 7 species
UCUCUGAGAACUGGGGUAGGCCACAAAUCCCGCGGACGAGCCCCCAUAUGUAAGACUCCCGAAGCUGGGCCUCCGCUCAAGUCCAAGGAUGAGCUGGCCAACGCCCUAACAUCCCAAGAGAUA